rnacentral:rRNA from 1 species
CCGACCGGCGCACGGGUGAGUAACACGUAUGCGACCUGCCCCCCGCAGGGGGAUAACCGGGAGAAAUCCCGACUAAUACCGCGUAACGCCGCGGGGCUGCAUGGCCCUGCGGCCAAAGGGAGCGAUUCCGGCAACGGAUGGGCAUGCGUGACAUUAGCUAGUUGGCGGGGCAACGGCCCACCAAGGCGACGAUGUCUAGGGGUUCUGAGAGGAAGGUCCCCCACACUGGUACUGAGACACGGACCAGACUCCUACGGAAGGCAGCAG